rnacentral:lncRNA from 13 species
AUGGCAAUUUGUUCCAGCAGCCCAAGGAAACCAAAGCACUGGGUAAUAGUAGAGACCUAUGGGUCCCAUCAGGAGCAGAGGCAAGAAAGCCAAAGAAACUCUAUAAGGAUGGCCUUGGGGACAUGGACUCCAUCCCGCCAAGGGGCUCCUUGCAGAGACCCCAUCCCUGCAGGGAAGAGAAGCUGCUGUCCCUCCUGGAAAGCCUUGGCAUUGAUGAGGCUUAGUUCAAGGCCUCAAGGGCCAAAAGAAAAAUGAACCUUUAAUUGAGGAAGAUUUGGCAUCAAUCAAUGAUGUGACUUUAGCCAGGCAAAGCCGAAAGAUACUGAGCCGGACACCCGACUGUGAGAACUGCUCUCUACCGGGGCAAAGAAUGCAGAAUGUAGAUAAGCAGCCUGUCUUGCCAGGCCCAGGAUCAUAACUCGCUGGGAAAAAUCUCCUCUUUAUAUCUGUUUAGUAAAUCUUUUUUCAUUUUUCUCUUUUUUAUGUUCUAAGAGCUUAACUUACUUUAUACCUCUGAGCCCCUUCACCUAAGUUUUGUGUUUUUAUGCGCUGAUGAUAGUUUCUAAGAAGCCACUGGACACAAUGGAAUCGGUAGAUUCCCAGCACCCAGCCAGAGAGCUGAUACAACAGGAAUCUUGAAGAAGCAACAGUCAGAGGCCAGAGAAUUCUAGCAAGAUAGUAGGGACAGCAGCCACACAGGUUUUGGAUCUUCCUAAAUCCCCACCUAAAAAAACCUGGCCAUGGACAAUAUUUAUCACAAACUAGCUGCUGGGGUAUUCCCAUGAACCCCAAAUACAAGCAGCUCAGGAUAAACCACCAACUAUAAGCCCUGAGCACCCUCAGUAUCUGUGAGGGAGUAGGGGGAAGUCCUGGGUAGCUACAGACCCAGCACAUGAGAACCCCAAACACCAAAAUAUGAGAAGUACUGCAGGCCUGAGACCAGCAGCUGCUACUGGAAGGAACUUUGCCCAAGCCAGUGGGGGCAUGCAAGGGAUUUGUGGUCAGCUCUGAACUAUGAACUUCUGAAAGUGACCAGCCAGGGUUCCCAUCCAGCACAGGGCCUCAGAACAAGAAAACUGCUGGGAGUGGGCUGCAGACAGAUGAAAAUCAGCGUGUGUGUGUGCGUGCCUGCGUGCGUGCGUGUGUGUAUGUGUGUGUGUGUCGGUGGCCUCCCUCCCACCUGCCAAGAUUCUUGGAAGGCUCUUUCCUUCCCAGGCCCUCCUGUUGCUCUCAGCCAUUGCUUUGAUGACCUGUG